rnacentral:rRNA from 1 species
CGGCAGGGGGACCUUCGGGUUGCCGGCCAGCGGCGGACGGGUGAGUAAUGCCUAGGAAUCUGCCUGUUAGUGGGGGAUAACGCGGGGAAACUCGCGCUAAUACCGCAUACGUCCUACGGGAGAAAGUGGGGGACCCUCGGGCCUCACGCUAACAGAUGAGCCUAGGUCGGAUUAGCUAGUUGGUGGGGUAAAGGCCCACCAAGGCGACGAUCCGUAACUGGUCUGAGAGGAUGAUCAGUCACACUGGAACUGAGACACGGUCCAGACUCCUACGGGAGGCAGCAGUGGGGAAUAUUGGACAAUGGGCGAAAGCCUGAUCCAGCCAUGCCGCGUGUGUGAAGAAGGUCUUCGGAUUGUAAAGCACUUUAAGUUGGGAGGAAGGGCGCUCGGUGAAUACCCAAGCGUCUUGACGUUACCGACAGAAUAAGCACCGGCUAACUUCGUGCCAGCAGCCGCGGUAAUACGAAGGGUGCAAGCGUUAAUCGGAAUUACUGGGCGUAAAGCGCGCGUAGGUGGUUCGGCAAGUUGGAUGUGAAAGCCCCGGGCUCAACCUGGGAACCGCAUCCAAAACUACUGGGCUAGAGUACGGUAGAGGGUGGUGGAAUUUCCUGUGUAGCGGUGAAAUGCGUAGAUAUAGGAAGGAACACCAGUGGCGAAGGCGACCACCUGGACCGAUACUGACACUGAGGUGCGAAAGCGUGGGAGCAAACAGGAUUAGAUACCCUGGUAGUCCACGCCGUAAACGAUGUCGACUAGCCGUUGGGCUCCUUGAGAGCUUAGUGGCGCAGCUAACGCAUUAAGUCGACCGCCUGGGGAGUACGGCCGCAAGGUUAAAACUCAAAUGAAUUGACGGGGGCCCGCACAAGCGGUGGAGCAUGUGGUUUAAUUCGAAGCAACGCGAAGAACCUUACCUGGCCUUGACAUCCUGCGAACUUUCAAGAGAUUGAUGGGUGCCUUCGGGAGCGCAGAGACAGGUGCUGCAUGGCUGUCGUCAGCUCGUGUCGUGAGAUGUUGGGUUAAGUCCCGUAACGAGCGCAACCCUUGUCCUUAGUUACCAGCGAUUCGGUCGGGCACUCUAAGGAGACUGCCGGUGACAAACCGGAGGAAGGUGGGGAUGACGUCAAGUCAUCAUGGCCCUUACGGCCAGGGCUACACACGUGCUACAAUGGUCGGUACAAAGGGUUGCCAAGUCGCGAGGCGGAGCUAAUCCCAGAAAACCGAUCGUAGUCCGGAUCGCAGUCUGCAACUCGACUGCGUGAAGUCGGAAUCGCUAGUAAUCGCGAAUCAGAAUGUCGCGGUGAAUACGUUCCCGGGCCUUGUACACACCGCCCGUCACACCAUGGGAGUGGGUUGCUCCAGAAGUAGCUAGUCUAACCCUCGGGAGGACGGUUACCACGG